AAAUUGAAGAGUUUGAUCAUGGCUCAGAUUGAACGCUGGCGGCAGGCCUAACACAUGCAAGUCGAGCGGAAACGAGUUAUCAGAACCUUCGGGGGACGAUAACGGCGUCGAGCGGCGGACGGGUGAGUAAUGCCUAGGAAAUUGCCCUGAUGUGGGGGAUAACCAUUGGAAACGAUGGCUAAUACCGCAUGAUGCCUACGGGCCAAAGAGGGGG
rnacentral:rRNA from 1 species